rnacentral:lncRNA from 1 species
AUGAACUUGCUGCCUGCCCAGUUCUCCUCCUCUUCCUGUAGCUCCUUUGGGCUUUUCUCCUGGACAGCGCUGGCCAGGAGGACUCGGUGGCCCGACCCUCCUCCCCAGGCGGUGCGCCCCUGGGUCUUCUCCUUUCCCUGCUGUGCUGGCCAGGAGCGCGGAUCCCAAAGACCCUGGCUGAGGCUGCCACAGACCGCAGAGGGCACAGCAGGUGUCUUCCUGGUCCCAGCGUGCCACCCUCUCCACGGGCCCAGGCCAGCUGGACGGAGCCGUCAGCUGGAGAAGGAACAGUUGCUGAGCAGAUGGCAGCCGUCACUCCUCCCCGUGUCUGCACCGUUGGAGCCCAAGGCGCCCACUGCUUCCAGGUGUCCUGACCCCCACACCUGUGUGACCCAGACGGGCAGCACCACAGUCACCUCAGACCCCUCUCAGCAAGGUGACUCUGAGGCCCAACCCGAGGCGGCGUCUUCCCGGAAGGUGGGUCCAGACUUCUACCUGCUUCCGCCAGCAACCCUGCCACGGAUUCCCGUCUCAUUCACUGCCACAGGAAUGUGAAUGACCCUGUUUCCGGAGAGGCUGGCUGAAUGCUCCUUCUGUAGUCCCUGGGGCCGAGCCUGUGGGAGAACAGUUCCGCUGGACUCUUGUCACUGCGGCAGGGACUGCGAGACUCCAACAGUGGGUCCCCUGGCUCCCCUGGGUGGCUCAGACCCAGCCUGUGGCCUGCAGCUCCACCAGACAGCAGCUACUGCUGCUGCUAAGUGUUCUUUCAUUGUCAAGUUAAUUUCUCUGUUUUCCUUUCUUACGUAUUUCAUGGGAUAUUUUUUUAAAAUAAAAAAAUAAAGUCCAUUCCUUUGUUGAAUCUGUGUUUCUGAGGAACAUUUUCUGCUCUCG